rnacentral:lncRNA from 1 species
GUUUUGGCUAGGAAUAAUGAGGAGGAACCGCAAGGAAGCAUAUUCGCGAUGGGCUAAAUUUGGACUGCAGAAGGGUUGGUGGCCACCAAGACUACAUACGGUGACUGAUUUUGUUGUUCAAAUACACGGUGGAAAGCUUAUGAAGUCUAUUUUCACAUGGAUCCAGUCCCAUGUCCAUAUCUAUAAUGAGGCGGCCGCAAUCGUCGAGUUACUCCAGAGACCUUUCUGUGGACAGCUUCAUUCAAUAAGAAACUCCAUGCAUGCAUGAUAUGGAUAUUAUUGUUUUCUUUUGUUUUUAGUGAGUCGAGGGAUUAGCAGCGCACACUCUGGUUGCUCUCUCUUGUACAUAAAGGCUUCUACAGCCAGAGACACAAGGGCGGGUUUUGUUUUGUUGUAAGUUUAGCCAUUGCUACUUCCUUGUAGACGCAUGUGUCAACUAGACCAUCCGUUCUAUUUGAUUCAAAACCCCAUAUUGUUAUCGUGAUUCAUAUCAGAUCCUUCUUGUAUUAUUUGGCAAUUGAGUGCCUGUUCUAUCUGUUCUUGCAUGUUCUUCGAUUGCGUGCAGGAAUUACCCUAGUGGUUUGGUUGGUUGUGAUCAACAAGAUCGUGAUCAACCACUGGAAUUGGUGUAUCGAUCGCUAAGGCGCAGCGUCCUUGGACGGUUGUAGUCGGAUCGUGAACGUCGCUCUAGAGAGAUCGAAGUUAUCCAUCUCCACCA